UAGCAAUAUCAUAGUGGCGCACGGGUGCGUAACACGUAUGCAACCUACCUUAUACUGAGGGAUAGCCUUUCGAAAGGGAGAUUAAUACCUCAUAACACAUUGAACUGGCAUCAGUUUAUUGUUAAAGAUUUAUUGGUAUAAGAUGGGCAUGCGUCCAAUUAGUUAGUUGGCGAGGUAACGGCUCACCAAGACGAUGAUUGGUAGGGGAACUGAGAGGUUAAUCCCCCACACUGGCACUGAGAUACGGGCCAGACUCCUACGGGAGGCAGCAGUAGGGAAUAUUGGGCAAUGGAGGCAACUCUGACCCAGCCAUGCCGCGUGCAGGAAGAAGGCGUUAUGCGUUGUAAACUGCUUUUAUAUAGGAAGAAAUAGACCUUGCGAGGUAAGUUGACGGUACUAUAUGAAUAAGCACCGGCUAACUCCGUGCCAGCAGCCGCGGUAAUACGGAGGGUGCAAGCGUUGUCCGGAUUUAUUGGGUUUAAAGGGUGCGUAGGCGGUUUAUUAAGUCGGUGGUGAAAGACGGUCGCUCAACGAUUGCAGUGCCAUUGAUACUGGUAGACUUGAG
rnacentral:rRNA from 1 species